GGGCAUAGGUGUGGGGCUGGGGUGUAGGUGUUAGGCUGGGGAAUAGGCCUGCGGUAUAGGUAUAAGGCUGGGGUAUAGGUAUAAGGCUGGGGUAUAGGUAUAAGGCUGGGGGUUAGGUAUAAGGCUGGGGUAAAGGUAUAAGGCUGGGGUAUAGGUAUAAGGCUGGGGUAUAGGUAUAAGGCUGGGGUAAAGGUAUAAGGCUGGGGUAUAGGUAUAAGGCUGGGGUAUAGGUAUAAGGCUGGGGUAUAGGUAUAAGGCUGGGGUAUAGGUAUAAGGCUGGGGUAUAGGGCUGAGGUAUAGGUACAGGGCUGGGGUAUAGGUAUAGGGCUGGGUGCAUGGCUGGGAUAUAGGUAAAGGGCUGGGCUUUAGGUAUUGGGCUGGGGUAUAUGGCUAAUGGUAUAGGGCUGGG
ensembl:lncRNA